AACGAACGCUGGCGGCAUGCCUAACACAUGCAAGUCGAACGAGACCUUCGGGUCUAGUGGCGCACGGGUGCGUAACGCGUGGGAAUCUGCCCUUGGGUUCGGAAUAACUCGCCGAAAGGCGUGCUAAUACCGGAUGACGUCGUAAGACCAAAGAUUUAUCGCCGAAGGAUGAGCCCGCGUAAGAUUAGGUAGUUGGUGAGGUAAAGGCUCACCAAGCCGACGAUCUUUAGCUGGUCUGAGAGGAUGAUCAGCCACACUGGGACUGAGACACGGCCCAGACUCCUACGGGAGGCAGCAGUGGGGAAUAUUGGACAAUGGGCGAAAGCCUGAUCCAGCAAUACCGCGUGAGUGAUGAAGGCCUUAGGGUUGUAAAGCUCUUUUACCCGGGAUGAUAAUGACAGUACCGGGAGAAUAAGCCCCGGCUAACUCCGUGCCAGCCGCCGCCGUAAGAC
rnacentral:rRNA from 1 species